rnacentral:rRNA from 1 species
GAAAUCUGGCGCCUCUGGUGUCCGAGUUGUAAUUUGGAGAGGCAUCUUCCGGAGGGGCCCAGCCUAUGUUCCUAGGAACAGGACAUCACAGAGGGUGAGAAUCCCGUUCAUGGCUGGAUGUACCCUUCAGUAGGUAGUGCCUUCUACGAGUCGAGUUGUUUGGGAAUGCAGCUCAAAAUGGGUGGUAAAUUUCAUCUAAAGCUAAAUAUUGGCGAGAGACCGAUAGCGCACAAGUAGAGUGAUCGAAAGAUGAAAAGCACUUUGAAAAUAGAGUCAAACAGUACGUGAAAUUGUUGAAAGGGAAGCGCUUGAGAUCAGACUCAGCCUUGGGCAAACAACUGUCCUUCUGGAUGGUGCACUUGCCCUCGGUUGGGCCAGCAUCAGUUAGGACGGUGGAAUAAAGGCUUGGGGAAUGUGACUCCGCUUAGGAGUGUUAUAGCCUCAGGUGCCAUCCCACCUGGCC